AUUUUUCCCCCAUUUCCCCUCACGUUUCCUUCCCCCUCCAAUUUCCCCUUUUCCUCCCACUUUCCGCCCUUUCUCUCAACCUUUUCCCCUCACACUUUUUCCCUUUUCCACCUUUUCCCGUACUUUUCUCUUUUCCCAAACUUUUGGCUUUUCUCCUCACUUUUUCUUCUACACUUUUACCUCAUUUCCAGCCCAUUUCCCCUCACAAUUUUUCUGCCUUUUUUUCCCCUUUUUCCACUCACAUUUUCCCUUUUUCCAUUUAUACUUUUCCUCUUUUUUCUCCUCAUAACUUUUCCCUCACAUUUCCCCACAUUUUUCCUCAUAAUUUUCCCUAUUUCCCCACAUUUUCCCUCAUGAUUUUUCCCUCAUAAUUCUAUACAAUUCUCUCAUAUUUCCCCACAUUUUCCCUCACUUUUCCCAUAUUUUUCCUUUUCCCAACAUUUCCUUCACACUUUUCCCUCAAACUUCCAUAUUUCUGUACAAUUUCUCCCAAUUUUCGAUUUUUUCCCUCAUAUUUUCCCCCUCAUACUUUUCCUCUCACAUUCCCCCCCAUUUUCCCUCACAAAUUUCCCCACAUUUUCCCCCUUUUUCUCCCCAUUUCCCCCCCCAACUUCCCUCUCCCGUUUUCCCCAAUUCCUUCCUAUUUCCCCUUUUUAUUUUUUUCCCUUCGUUUUCCCUCAUUUUGCCUUUUUUCUUCCCAAUUUCUCCCGUUUCCACAGCUCCGUCCCGCUCCCUGCGCCGCCUCAUGGACGAGGAGCCCUGGACCCCGUUUGGCUACGGCCCCAGCACCAGGUACGGCCCCAAAAACCACCGAAAUCACCCCAAAUUGUGCAGAAAUCACCCCAAACCCCGCAGAAAUAGCCCCAAACCCUACAGAAAUGGCCCAAAUACCCCAGAAAUCACCCCAAAUAUCACAGAGCUGGCCCCAAAUACCCCAGAAAUCACCCCAAAAAGUGCAGAGAUGCCCCAAACACCCCAGAAAUCACCCCAAACACCACAGAGAUGCCCCAAAUUCCCCAGAAAUCACCCC
rnacentral:lncRNA from 1 species